rnacentral:rRNA from 1 species
AGUGAACGCUGGCGGUAGGCCUAACACAUGCAAGUCGAACGGCAGCACAGUAAGAGCUUGCUCUUACGGGUGGCGCGUGGCGGACGGGUGAGGAAUACAUCGGAAUCUACUUUUUCGUGGGGGAUAACGUAGGGAAACUUACGCUAAUACCGCAUACGACCUACGGGUGAAAGCAGGGGAUCUUCGGACCUUGCGCGAUUGAAUGAGCCGAUGUCGGAUUGGCUAGUUGGCGGGGUAAAGGCCCACCAAGGCGACGAUCCGUAGCUGGUCUGAGAGGAUGAUCAGCCACACUGGAACUGAGACACGGUCCAGACUCCUACGGGAGGCAGCAGUGGGGAAUAUUGGACAAUGGGCGCAAGCCUGAUCCAGCCAUACCGCGUGGGUGAAGAAGGCCUUCGGGUUGUAAAGCCCUUUUGUUGGGAAAGAAAAGCAGCAGGUUAAUACCCCGCUGUUCUGACGGUACCCAAAGAAUAAGCACCGGCUAACUUCGUG